UACGUAGGUGGCGAGCGUUGUCCGGAUUUACUGGGCGUAAAGAGCGCGCAGGCGGCUGGUCAAGUCCGAUGUGAAAGCUCCCGGCUUAACUGGGAAAUUGCAUCGGAAACUGAUCGGCUGGAAGGUGGGAGAGGGUAGCGGAAUUCCCGGUGUAGUGGUGAAAUGCGUAGAUAUCGGGAGGAACACCAGUGGCGAAGGCGGCUUCCUGGCCUGUUCUUGACGCUGAGGCGCGACAGCGUGGGGAGCAAACAGG
rnacentral:rRNA from 1 species